AGCGAACGCUGGCGGCAGGCUUAACACAUGCAAGUCGAACGCCCCGCAAGGGGAUCGCCUGCCGGGGCAAUAACCCGUGGGAUCAUAACCGUUGGAUCGGCCCAACUCAGGGAAACUUACGCCAAUACCAGAUGAGCCCUUACGGGGAAAGAUUUAUCGCCGCCAGAUUGGCCCGCGUCUGAUUAGCUAGUUGGUGAGGUAACGGCUCACCAAGGCGACGAUCAGUAGCUGGACUGAGAGGAUGACCAGCCACACUGGGACUGAGACACGGCCCAGACUCCUACGGGAGGCAGCAGUGGGGAAUAUUGGACAAUGGGGGCAACCCUGAUCCAGCCAUGCCGCGUGAGUGAAGAAGGCCUUAGGGUUGUAAAGCUCUGUUGCCCGGGAAGAUAAUGACGGUACCGAGAGAAUAAGCCCCGGCUAACUUCGUG
rnacentral:rRNA from 1 species